UGGGGAAUAUUGGACAAUGGGCGAAAGCCUGAUCCAGCCAUGCCGCGUGUGUGAAGAAGGUCUUCGGAUUGUAAAGCACUUUAAGCGAGGAGGAGGGUACUGGUAUUAAUACUACCAGGUACUGGACGUUACUCGCAGAAUAAGCACCGGCUAACUCUGUGCCAGCAGCCGAGGUAAUACAGAGGGUGCGAGCGUUAAUCGGAUUUACUGGGCGUAAAGCGUGCGUAGGCGGCUGAUUAAGUCGGAUGUGAAAUCCCUGAGCUUAACUUAGGAAUUGCAUUCGAUACUGGUCAGCUAGAGUAUGGGAGAGGAUGGUAGAAUUCCAGGUGUAGCGGUGAAAUGCGUAGAGAUCUGGAGGAAUACCGAUGGCGAAGGCAGCCAUCUGGCCUAAUACUGACGCUGAGGUACGAAAGCAUGGGGAGCAAACAGG
rnacentral:rRNA from 1 species